rnacentral:rRNA from 1 species
GACGAACGCUGGCGGCGUGCCUAAUACAUGCAAGUAGAACGCUGAAGGAGGAGCUUGCUUCUCUGGAUGAGUUGCGAACGGGUGAGUAACGCGUAGGUAACCUGCCUGGUAGCGGGGGAUAACUAUUGGAAACGAUAGCUAAUACCGCAUAAUAGCAGUUAUUGCAUGAUAACUGUUUGAAAGGUGCAAUUGCACCACUACCAGAUGGACCUGCGUUGUAUUAGCUAGUUGGUGGGGUAACGGCUCACCAAGGCGACGAUACAUAGCCGACCCGAGAGGGUGAUCGGGCACACUGGGACUGAGACACGGCCCAGACUCCUGCGGGAGGCAGCAGUUGGGAAACUUCGGCAAUGGACGGAAGUCUGAACGAGGAAAGCCGCGUGAGGGAAGAAGGUUCUCGGAUCGGAAAGCUCGGUUGUAAGAGAAGAACGAGUGUGAGAGUGGAAAGUUCACACUGUGACGGUAUCUUACCAGAAAGGGACGGCUAACUACGUG